rnacentral:rRNA from 1 species
GUGUCAGCCGCCGCGGUAAUACGAAGGGGGCUAGCGUUGCUCGGAAUCACUGGGCGUAAAGCGCACGUAGGCGGCUUUUUAAGUCAGGGGUGAAAUCCUGGAGCUCAACUCCAGAACUGCCUUUGAUACUGAGAAGCUUGAGUCCGGGAGAGGUGAGUGGAACUGCGAGUGUAGAGGUGAAAUUCGUAGAUAUUCGCAAGAACACCAGUGGCGAAGGCGGCUCACUGGCCCGGUACUGACGCUGAGGUGCGAAAGCGUGGGGAGCAAACAGGAUUAGAUACCCCCGUAGUCC